GUCCUCUAUUUUUGUACCUCUGGAGGGAGAGGGAGCAAAAGGCUCUCGGGUUUCCUUACCUACACCAAACAUGUGCUAGGGAUACUCACUGAACACGACAAGUGUGGCACCAUCUUUCAUUUGCUUACCGUCUUGAGAAGAUAAAGGCAAAAGAAAUGGUUGUGCAGUGAGGCCUCUAAGAAGUAAACCAAAGAGAGUAAAGGAAAAGAUUUUUCUUCCCAACAGCCAUAGAUGUUACUGCAAAAUAACUUAAUUUUGGAGU